rnacentral:rRNA from 1 species
CGUGAUGGCGACCGGCGCACGGGUGAGUAACACGUAUCCAGCCUGCCGAUAACUCGGGGAUAGCCUUUCGAAAGAAAGAUUAAUACCCGGUGGUAUAAUCAGACCGCAUGGUUUGAUUAUUAAAGAAUUUCGGUUAUCGAUGGGGAUGCGUUCCAUUAGGCAGUUGGUGAGGUAACGGCUCACCAAACCUUCGAUGGAUAGGGGUUCUGAGAGGAAGGUCCCCCACAUUGGAACUGAGACACGGUCCAA